CCUACGGGAGGCUGCAGUGGGGGAUAUUGCACAAUGGGGGGAACCCUGAUGCAGCGACGCCGCGUGGGUGAAGGAGUUUUUCGGUAUGUAAAGCCCUAUCGGCAGGGAAGAAAUUGGACGGUACCUGACUACGAAGCCUUGGCUAACUACGGGCCAGCAGCCGCGGUAAUACGGAGGGGGCAAGCGUUAUCCGGAUUCACUGGGUGUAAAGGGAGCGUAGACGGCCGUGCAAGCCAGGGGUGAAAGCCCGGGGCCCAACCCCGGGACUGCCCUUGGAACUGGAUGGCUGGAGUGCGGGAGAGGCUAGCGGAAUUCCAGGUGUAGGGGUGAAAUGCGUAGAUAUCAGGAGGAACACCAGCGGCGAAGGCGACCAGCUGGAACGCAACUGACGUUGAGGCUCGAAAGCGUGGGGAGCGAACAGGAUUAGAUACCCCAGUAGUC
rnacentral:rRNA from 1 species